rnacentral:rRNA from 1 species
GAUCCUGGCUUAGGAUGAACGCUAGCGACAGGCUUAACACAUGCAAGUCGAGGGGCAGCAAUAAAAGUAGCAAUACUUGGUGGCGACCGGCGCACGGGUGAGUAACGCGUAUGCAACCUACCUAUCAGAGGGGAAUAACCCGGCGAAAGUCGGACUAAUACCGCAUAAAACAGGGGCACCGCAUGGUGAUAUUUGUUAAAGAAAUUCGCUGAUAGAUGGGCAUGCGUUCCAUUAGGUAGUUGGUGAGGUAACGGCUCACCAAGCCGACGAUGGAUAGGGGAACUGAGAGGUUGGUCCCCCACACUGGUACUGAGACACGGACCAGACUCCUACGGGAGGCAGCAGUGAGGAAUAUUGGUCAAUGGGCGAGAGCCUGAACCAGCCAAGUCGCGUGAAGGAAGAAGGAUCUAUGGUUCGUAAACUUCUUUUGCAGGGGAAUAAAGUGCAGGACGUGUCCUGUUUUGUAUGUACCCUGAGAAUAAGGAUCGGCUAACUCCGUGCCAGCCGCGGC